rnacentral:rRNA from 1 species
UGUGAGGCGCGAGCUGCAACAUCAACCAAUCUUGAUUCUUUGAAGAAAGACUUGAGUAAGAGCAUAAUCGGUAGGACCCGAAAGAUGGUGAACUACGGUUGAGUAGGGUGAAGCCAGGGGAACUCUGGUGGAGGCUCGAAGCGUUACUGACGUGCAAAUCGUUCGUCAAACUUGACUGUAGGGGCGAAAGACUAAUCGAACCAUCUAGUAGCUGGUUCCCUCUGAAAUUUCUCUCAGGAUAGCAGGAACAGAUAUAGCAGUUUUAUCAGGUAAAGCUAAUGAUUAGUGGAAUCGGGGGUCUCCGAUCCUUGACCAAUUCUCAAACUUUAAAUUGGUAAGAACCAGAAGUUUUCUUAAUUGAACUUUUGGGCAGAAUGCAUUGUUCUUAGUGGGCCAUUUUUGGUAAGCAGAACUGGCGAUGAGGGAUGAACCUAACGUUGAGAUAAGGUGCCCAAAUUCACGCUCAUCAGACACCAUAAAAGGCGUUGGUUAGUUUAAACAGCCGGACUGUGGCCAUGGAAGUCGGC